AUUGAACGCUGGCGGCAGGCCUAACACAUGCAAGUCGAACGAGUGGCGGUUGGGAGAGUAAUGUUUGGGAAUCUGUCAGCUGGCGGGGGAUAACUAAUAGAAACUGGAGAUAAUACCGCAUACUACCAGAUGAGCCCAGAUGGGUUUAGCUAGGUGGUGGGGUAACGGCUCACCAGGGCGACGAUCCCUAGCUGGUCUGAGAGGACGACCGGCCACACUGGAACGGGGACACGGUCCAGACUCCUACGGGAGGCAGCAGUGGGGAAUAUUGCACAAGGGGCGAAAGCCGGAUGCAGCCAUGCCGCGUGUAUGAAGAAGGCCUUCGGGUUGUAAAGUACUUUCAGCGGGGAGGCGUUACCCGCAGAAGAAGCACCGGCUAACUCCGUGCCAGCAGCCGCGGUAAUUC
rnacentral:rRNA from 1 species